AAUUAAAUCAUAAACAUUAAUUCUUAUCACAGUAUCAGUGCUCCAUCUAUAGGCCUAACAAAGGGGUGUUGAUAGACUUUUGAUUGGCUGAGCCACCAUCUAUUUGAAAACAAGCGACUUUGAUUGGCUGGAGACAGGAAGUUAUGUUUUGAAAACAAAGGGGGUUUUCAUCAACUGACUUUGAGCUUUAAGGUAUAAUUGAGUAACAUUAAGACUUAUAAUUCUAGUUUAAAAUGUCUUGAAUAACUUCAGCAUGAAGUAUUGUGUGGUGAAAACAAUGUGUAUGUACUACAAUGUGUAAAUCAACAAUAAGUUUGUUGCAAAGGAGAUUCAAAGUGGAUGGUUAAAGUGAUAUGGUCUCAUAAUUCAUCAACUGCCUGUUAUCUUGGAAUACUGAAGAACAGUUGUUUUAGGUUAGACUCCCAAGGUGAAAUUUACAUUGAUUGGAAGAUUCUUUGGAUAGAAUAUUCCUGCCAAAAGACAGCAGAAGGGGGACUAACUGAUGUAUGGAUUUUGACACCAGAUUUUACCCUGCACGAGCAGCCCAACUUGAGUAGAUCAGGAGUGGGAAAACCGAGCCCUGUCCUUGACCAAGGAAAGUUGGAUUUGUUGAGAGGACCUGAUCUCAAAUGAGAUCAUGCACAAGACGCACCUCGCA